GUACCCUCAAGCUUUGCUUGGUGUUGGGGCACUGCUUCUUACCCAAGAAGCAGGCCCUGAAAUUCAGUGGCGAGCUCGCCAGGACCCCGAGCGCAGUAGUUAAACCCUCGCUCUGGAAGGCCCUGGCGGUGCCCUGCCGUUAAACCCCCAACUUCUGAAA
rnacentral:misc_RNA from 1 species